rnacentral:rRNA from 1 species
AUGCCCUACGGGGGCAGCAGUGAGGAAUAUUGGUCAAUGGGCGGAAGCCUGAACCAGCCAAGUCGCGUGAGGGAAUAAGGCCCUACGGGUCGCAAACCUCUUUUGCCGGGGAGCAAGGGCCGGGACGCGUCCCGGCCCGGAGAGUACCCGGAGAAAAAGCAUCGGCUAACUCCGUGCCAGCAGCCGCGGUAAUACGGAGGAUGCGAGCGUUAUCCGGAUUUAUUGGGUUUAAAGGGGGCGUAGGCGGGCUUUUAAGUCAGCGGUAAAAAUUCGGGGCUCAACCCCGUCCGGCCGUUGACACUGGG